GUGUUUAUACAGAUUGUGUGAAGAAACCCUUGGAAGCAGCCCUGUGGAGAAGGACUUGGGGGUCCUGGUGGAUGAGAAGCUGGACAUGAGCCAGCAGUGCGCUUGCAGCCCGGAAGGCCAAAUGUGUUCUGGGCAUUAAAAAAGGUGUAGCCAGCAGGGAGAGGGAGGUGAUUGUCCCCUUCUACUCGGCUCUUGGGAGGCCCCAUCUGGAGUACUGUGUCCAGGCCUGGGGCCCCCAGUACAGGAAGGAUGUGGAGCAAUUGGAGUGGGUACAGAGGAGGGCCACUAAGAUGAUCAGAGGGCUAGAGCACCUCUCAAGAAAGGCUGAGGGAACUGGGCGUGUUUAGCUUGGAGAAGAGAAGGCUCUGGGGGGACCUCGUUGUGGACUUCCAGUACUUGAAGGGAGCAUAUCAACAGGAGGGGGAACAGCUGUUUACGAGGGUGGAUAGCUAUAGGACAAGGGGAAUGGUUUUAAACAAAGACAGGGGAGGUUUAGGUUAGAUUUUAGGAGGAAGUUUUUCACCCAGGGGGUGGUGAUGCACUGGAACAGGUUGCCCAAGGAGGUUGUGGAUGCCCCAUCCCUGGAGGCAUUCAAUGCCAGGCUGGAUGUGGCUCUGGGCAGCCUGGUCUAGUGGUUGGCAACCCUGCCCAUAGCAAGGGGGGUUGAAACUAGAUGAUCAUUAUGGUCCUCUUCAACCAUUCUAUGAUUCUAUGAUUCUAUGAUAAUGAACCUCAAAUCUGCCUGGUAUUUACCAGUUGCACUGGUAAAUUUUCUGUAUGCAUCUGUAUGAAAGUUAGUUUAUUUUUAAAAGUACUGAUUUAAAGAAAUCAGGAUCUGAAUUAAUCCCUCUUGAGGUACCUCUAUCUGAGCUAUCACUUGAAGCUUUUUUCAGUACUCACUGAACUGGGAAUAUGCAGCACUGGGGUGCAGCAGCAUGAAUUUACAUUUUCAAGGUGCCUAUAACAUAUUCAGGAAGCCUAAAGUUAUUAAUUUCCUAUGUCAGUUAUAAGCUUGAGUGUUGGAUGGGACAAAUCAAGGACUAACGGGGCCAAAGUUACUGUAGGCAAAGUUUUAGCAAAAAAGAAAAUGGAGUGAAAUGCUGCAGAAUAAUAUGCUGGCUAUGACUCAUCAGAAUAACUAAAAAUGACUUGCAGUACAGGAAAGUAAGGGGACUGUUAAAAUAGAGGAAUAACUGUGAUUUUUCAAAGUAAAGAAAAUGAUUGAUAUUUAUUCAGUUCAGGAUAAUGUGAAAGACUGCAUCUGUAUGACUGUAGCAGGUCAGUUCAUAAUAGGAGCCUUUUAAUGGAACAGAUCCCUUCACAGAAUGUAUUUGUUCUAUAAAAGCUAAUGUGCUGAAACCUCUAAUACCAAGUAGCCAAACAAGCCAAAGACAUAAUGCCAAAGAUUUUUAUAUUCUAUAUUUCCCUCCUCAGUGAUUACCAGUUUUCUCUUACCUCUACCAUGUUCAUGUGAGUAGCAUUCUUUUAUUUCAUAAUUACUUGUUACUAAAAUUUCCUGAAGUUUCAGGCUGCUCUGAAAAUAAUGCCUCCCAUUUAUUUACAUGCAAACUACCACACAUACCAAAAAGACAAUAACACUAUUUUAUGCAUUUUCACCCGAGAUGAAGAUGAGCACGCAUGUCGCGCUUGUAAAAAUCUGUGCCAGCGGAGGUGACCCACUGUUGCUGUCACCAGUGUUGAAACUCACCACCCACCCACUGCCUCUCUGAGCUCAUAUCCACUAUUUGGUCUCCAUCAACGUUCAGCAAACAUCAAUGGAUGUCAAUGGGUGCCAUUUUUUCCACGGAGGAAUUCAGUGAGGUGCCUUUGUUCCAUACACACUUCCAUAUCAGACGCCAUUUUGUCAGACUGCCCCUCUGCCGCCAUCUGUCGCAAAACAACAACAUAGAAAAAAUGCAUUACUCUCAUCUUCCCAGCAUAUCACUUUGUGAAAACCCUCUUCAUUAUUCCUCUGUCUUCUCUUAUUAACCAAGACAAAUAUUUGGAUGUUCUGUUUCCUUCAGGAAAUUAUACAUAUCUCCUGUUGAAGGGAAAAACAAAUGCAAGUAAUAAGACUUCAAAUUAACAACGGACUGGGUUUUGAGGGCUUUGUUUAAAAAAGGGUUGGAAAAAAAAAGUUUGAGGCAUUGAAAUGUAGUUUAGGAAAGAAAAGCAGAAAGAGAAAAAAGAUGUGGUAAAUACGACAGAAAUUGAGAACAAGUGUUUUUGUGGACAUUUUGUGGGGUAAAAUAGAUUCAUGCAGUUCACACAGUAAUUCACAACCAUAGCUUUUGUUUAGGUUGGAACUUCUGACAAUCACCUGCCUUGUGAGUGUAUUUGAGACAAGAUUUUAUAUGGAUAAAAAAUUAUGGAUUUGUUAUAUAUAGCACAAGAGAUUCUAACCAAUCCUCAUUUUCAUAUUAUAACUAUUUCUCCCUAUAUGAAAAAGCUCGUAUUAUUAUCUUAA
ensembl:lncRNA